rnacentral:lncRNA from 1 species
AUUGAGGAGGGAAUUGAUAGCAAAAUCACAGUUUAUAUGAUAGCAAGGAUAUCUAAUUUAAUCAAGAAAAUUUCGGCAGUAUAACAGCAAGGAAAUUGGUGCAAGUUGAGAUUGCAGAAUUCUCGUCGAAAAAUUUCAGCGGGUUACGAUGAAAAUUUGCAGCAAUAUAAAAUCGUUUUUAGAGAUGAAUUUCUUAAUAGAUCAAUCUUAGAUGGAAGCCAAGAUG